ensembl:lncRNA
GGACGAGACUUCAAUGCCGCUUCUUUUUGCUCUGGAAGCACCUGAAGCGUUGGCACGAAGGCUGAAGGCAUCAUGAGGGUCUCUGAGCUACACCCCACCCGCUGCGGGCACCUGCAUCCCGUAAGCCCCCUCCAAGGCAGCGCACUCACACCAACAGGUCGGCUUUGUUGCUACCUUUCAGCCGUGCCGUUGCGGUGCUGCAGAACUCGGCAUUGCUGCCUGCAGCGCUGCCAUGGUGGUACUUGAUUCCCAGCUCAGGGCUCCCGCUCUGCAUUGCCCGAUCCACUUGGCACAGCUCUGGGGGCAGAACGGAACACAAAGGAGGCUCUGGACGAUGGACUUUGCUACAGGGAAACCUAAUGCUACCACAGAAAGGGAAGCGAUGUUGUUACAGUGAUAACCCUGAGGAGCAUCUGCUGUUACGGAUGAGGGCAAAGGAGUGGGUACCUCUGCAUUCAGUUAUUAUUUCUGCUCUCUUACAGGAGAGGAAGCAUGGUGUAGCAAUGUGAACUGCCACACAUGGCAAAGCUCGUUUUCCCACCGAGAGCUGGUGUUUUGUGGGACCACAACCUGGUCUCACGAAAGAAGGCAACCUUUCUCCAGUCCACGUAGCAAAACCCCUUCCCACCUUUUCUCAGGCAAGGUGCAAGUAGCUGCCAAAUGUGGCAUUCCUCUGCUUUUCAGUUGAGCUGGGAUGUGGGUUUGCAGGGCAGCCUGGCUAAGUGAGCAGCAGUCACUGGGAGGAUGCUGUUGCCUGCACAGAUGGUCACGUGGGGAACUGGUUCCAUCCCAGGGAGAGCGCUGCAUGCUCUACAGGUGUGAUGCUUAAAGCUGAGACCCCGUAGAGGGAUGCCAUGGGCUGCACAGGCAGGAUGCGGCCCCAGAGGGCAGGGUUCCCUGCAGACACUGCACAAAUUGUGACAGCUCUGGAUCCAGCUGCACGGUGUGUGCUGGUUCCCCCCGCAGAGCAGGGUCAAGCCCGGACAGCCCAUCCUGUGAGCCCAGCGAGCUCAGCAAACAACACCAAUGCUGUUACAAUGCAGCAAAACCCCGCGGGACGUCAUGGCAUGCAUUAAUCACAGUAAUGUGAUGUUCUGACCAGAGGUCAUGUCAUGUUUGAAGUGUUUGAACCCAGACCCUUGGCAGGUAGAGCCGCAGUGGGGAGCAGGCUGAGCAAGCGUGGGGCCGCUCUCCCUGUGGCAAAGCUGAAAGAGUUUCCAUGUGGAUGGCUUUAAUUACUUCAUUCCAAAGAACGCACUCUCUGCUAAGAUCCCUCCAGAAGUUAAACAGGAGCGGUGAGGCAGACGCUGGCACAACAGAACCCAUGCACUGCUCAGCAUGCCGCAGAGGUGGGCAGCUGUGGCUGUUCUCUGCAAUGGGUGCCAAACUCUUGGAGUGGUUGGUAUUAUUUUUUGACUGUGUUGCAUUGCAAGGACAUGUCAGCAGCUAUAAAGACAAAGGGUGACUGAGUUUGGCCAUCAAAUAAGAACAGCAAAGAAAAUGUGUGUUUACAUGUGUGUGUUUACAGCCUGUCCCUGUGGUACAUGCCCAGCACUCCGGGGAAUCCUACACAGUGCCACGACCCAAAUCAGCACCCAAGCCUGCCUCACUGCAAAGCAUACCUGUAAUUUCAACUUGAUGCUGUUCUUUCAUGCAGCAGCCGCUGGGAGGCUUGGGAGAUCUGAUCCUGGGAGUGAGACAGACUGAAAGCACCAGGCACUGCUGGUGCCAUGCUGCUGUGCUCAUACCUGCCCAAAAGCAAGUUAAAAUGCAAGUCUGGGAGACUUUGUCACAGAGUUUUACCACUGAACAAUACUGAAACGUGUCAAGAAUUAGACAGAACUGCGUGGGAUGCACUCUCUACUCACAGAAAUGUGUGUUUUUCUGGGCACAGAGGAGGUGCUGAGCACCAUCAAUGAACUGACUAUAACGCUAGAAGCAAAUAUUAUGUGACGGAUUUCAUUUGCCAGCAGGGUGGCAAAAUGUCUGUCCAAAGAAGUGCAAACAACGCCCGCCGACCCGCUGAAAUCAGCUGGUGCCAUGCAGCUGCAGGUGGUCACACCUUUGUUUUUCUACAGAAAGUGAAUAUGUAGUUGGAGUUUCCUUAUCUAAGUAGGAAUGCCAUCACCUUUGAUCAGGGUUUGUGAGCGAGGGAUAAAGAAGAAGCAGUCUGAUGCACCCACUUGCUAUGGAACUCGGGCCAUUCUGCAGAGGCAAGACGUAUGGGAAACUGUUUUUUUUUUCCUUUGGACAGCUGGUCUCUCCUCUUGACCCCAUUAUGGUGCCCGUGUGGAACUGCCACCCUCUCACCCAGACCUUGGGGCUGCCCAUCACAUCCCACCUGGCUGGGCACCUCCGUGACACCUCCAGUCUGCCCACAGCGAAAGGGUUCAGACACAUGGUUCCUGUCUGUUUUGCACUAACCACCUGCCAGCAAGGUUCGGUGUUACUCAUGAAGGCCAUCCACCCCUGUACACAAUUCUGCCUUCAGCACCGCAUACACACACACUCUGGUCACGCUCUGCAGACCCAGCCCAGAGCUUCUCCGAACAUCAUCACAAAUCACCCUCUGGGAUAUGGUUGCUUACAACAAAUUUAUUUCAACGGAAUUGAAAAACCCUCUUGUUCUGGAGCACAAUUAAUGAAGAGUUGAGGCUGUGUU